rnacentral:misc_RNA from 1 species
GCCGUUUCGCGUGAAGCAGCGCUUCCUCACUUAUACACGUAUAUACGCAUAGACACGAAUACACACCCACGUACGCCUCAGCGCGGAGAACAGAGCAAUGUCCGGGAGCUGGUCCUUCUCUAGCGCUUCCACACCGCCGCGGCGGAGACGACACUCGCCCUCCUCCAUGAUCGCCGCCAGUCGCGUUGAUGCGCUGUUUGAGCCGUCGGUGCGUGCCGCGUACAUCGAAGACGCAGUGCUGUAUGAUGCCGGCGAAUGCGACGUGGAGGAUGCGACGAUAAUGCCCAGAGAAACCUGGACAAAGAAUGACAGCGGAUACUCGCACCAAUGCCGGUCCUGCCAAGACACGCAUCGCUUGCGCAACUCCCUCAAGAGAAUAGAAGCACAGUACGUGGCCGAAAUCGAGUCCUUGCGGCUGCAGCUGCAGGAAGCGGUGGCGCAGCGCACCGCAGCUGUGAGGGAGCGAAACGAGCUGCUGACCUCCGCUGACAUGUCGGUGACACGCAUUCUACAGAUGGAGCAAGACGCCCAGUCACUCCGGAUGGAGUUGGUGCAAGUGGCGCAGGAGAAAGAGCAACUGCGACGGCGUGUGCAGGAGCUAGAGAAGCAGAGUGUCGCUGCCAGCGAGAGACAUGUGAGACUUGCAGGUGCCGUCGUUGAGGACGCGGAGGCGGCGGGGCGCGACCACGUCGAGUCAGCGGAGAAGGGCGAGGCUCUGUUGCUCGUGCAGCUGCGCGCGGCCGAGUGGGCGAGAGUCGCAGAAAUCGCACAUCGCAUGCCAGAUGAAACCCGAAACAGUGGCGCCGCGGCUGCUGGUGGUGGGGCUGCUGGUGCUAGGUGCGGCAGCUCCUGUGCAAACGUCUCUGGCGGCUUUUCUCCAGAGAGUGCGUCGCCGGUAUCGUCCGAGAAGAGUCCUCACCGGCGCACAUGUUCGCCGCGUCCUUCGCAGCGGCGAUCACUGACGGUGUCAGUGGACACGCAUCGUCUUUCAUUCGGUGCUUAUUCCCCACCAGGGCACAGCGGAGGAGAGAGCGCUGCUGCCACCUCUCCCCGUCCUGGCGGGUUCGCCACAGCCGUGGCGGGAGCAACAGCAGCCGCGGGCGUCGAUUCAGCGCGUGAGCGCAUCAAGCGACUGGAGUGUGACCUCGAGCGUCAGCGCACAUUGCAUGAGAUGCAGCUGACGGAGGAGCGCACCUUGACGACUGAAAUGCAGGCAGAAAUGGACGACCUAAUCGAGAAUGAGCUCGUGCUGCUGGAGGCAAAUGAUCGUAUAGCGCUGGAGAGGGAUCGGGCGGAGGACGCCGUCGACGUUGUGCGGUUCCUUCUUCAGCGCCUCGAGGUGGCGCGCUGUUCAGGGCUAGUGACGCCCGCGGAGGCUUUCAAGGGGGACAGGACACUACCGAAAGCCACAUGUGUGGCCUGCCCCGAGGCCAGCGACGGUGGAUCAUGCGAAGCUCCCGUGCCACCAACGGCAAAGCAGACGUCGCUGAGGCCUGGAAGGUUGGGGGGCGAACCCAUUGGAUGCGAAGAGCUGAUGGCGAGUGCGCUCAGCGCUGCGGAUGAAACGAGGCGAGGCGUUUACGACCUUCGCGACGAUAUCGCUCGCUGCCACGCCGCUGUUGGCAGCACCGGCACUCAACAAGAGAGGAUGGAGACUCUUCUUUGCCGAGUACUGGCGGAGGUGGCGGACCAACGCCGCAAGGCAGACGAAGCGCACACGAUGUUGCGUCGGUUUGCACGCAUCUCCACCCACAACGACAACGCGCUGUUUCGUGCGGUGGGGCGUGUGGAGGAAACCUUGAAGACACCCACGCCCGCCGCUGUUCUUGUAAAGGAUGGGAAGGCUGGUAGGGGGACAAGCGCCGCGAGCCGCACUGCUGCGUUGGAGCCUCCGCCGCCGCUGCGCACAGAGGUACUGCCGCGCAUGAAGGCCAUGGAUGUCGCUCGGUUCACCACAACCACAGACCAAUCCGCGGCGGAUGUCUCGAAUGACCUCAGGCAGCUGCCGUCACGCUCGUGCUUUGUUGCCGCGGAGGACAAUCUUUUUGAUCCCGGUCGCGUUCACGUAGACUCUAACGUGGCGGCGCAGAAGAUGGCGGCGCUUCUCCUCGAGGACCCGCUCAGCGACCCCUCCGAUGGGGACGUUCGGCAGACGCCGUAUGAUGACUAUUAGCGGCGCCCGCGCUGUACUUCGCUCCUCUCUCCCUCAAUCAUGCGGUUAUGGGAAAUGGUUUCUGUCCUGAAAAAGGUGCCAACGUUAUCCAGCCGAGUUGGCGAGCAGAAGUGCCGUGGGUGUUUCCAGCGACUUCCACGCUGCUCGACUCAGCGGCACGGGCGCGAUGUACGUUUUGUGGUCUUUUUGCCUCAUUCCGUCCUACACCUUUUACUUGUGUAAUCCCGAAGCUCUGCACUGCAUCUAUCCCCCCCCCCCCCACCACCACCACCACGACAACUACACAAGCCCGUAGACGCACGGCUCGCAGACGAGCCAUACGUGAAGGCGUCAGCACACAUACACAGACACACACACUGACAUGGACAUACAUACCGGCGGAAGCAGAGCAGAGGGCUUGGACGAUCAUAGAGCUAGAUCUCUACACAGGGGGACAUGGCCAGCGAUGGGAGGGGUGUUCGCACUUCUCAUUUUUCUUCUGCGCUCCUUUUCCUUAGCGGCGAUGGCGGUGAUGCAAUGGACAGUCAUUCGUCGUGCGUGCAGAGACGUUCUCGUGCGCGAACGCAACUCCAUUCUGCUUCUCCUUCUGCCCCUGUCGUUACCAGCACGAAGCUAGAAGUGCGGCGGUGAGGGAGUGUUGAGCGCGUCUGCCUCUCGCCCCCUCCCUCUUUCUCGUCGCUGUUGUGAAGUGCGUCUGUGUGAGCGCGCGUGACCGUGGUAUCUGCACUGAGGUCGCGCGCCAGAGUUUCUUCCUCACUGAAGCUAUUCUAUAGCCGGUUACCUCUUCAGUUUCAGGUGGCCCUGUGCAUGCGAUUGCCUUCCCGACAAUCGCCCCCCAGCCCUCUUCCCCCGCAAAGAGUGUGAUCGUCAUUCCUCCAUCGGUGGUAGACCGCAGCCCUGGUAACAUGUGCGAGUUGUCCUCCUUCACCGCUCCUUCUCUCUGACGCUGCUCGUCUCUCUCCACGACGAGAACAUGUGUGAAAGGCAGUUCCUCGCGUCUUCCUUCGGCCCGUUGCCUCACCCGCAUGACGUUGUCGAACCGGCACGACUCCUAUCCCGUUUUCGCUUCCCAUCUCUUCGCGUUGCACCUGCGGCUCUUGUUGGACUACUGUGUCUGGGCACGAUCUUCCCCACGGACAUCUUUGCAG